UACAGAGGUCCCGAGCGUUGUUCGGAUUCACUGGGCGUAAAGGGUGCGUAGGUGGUGAGGUAAGUCGGAUGUGAAAUCUCCGGGCUCAACCCGGAAAUGGCAUUGGAAACUACCUUGCUAGAGGAUUUGAGGGGGGAUUGGAAUACUUGGUGUAGCAGUGAAAUGCGCAGAUAUCAGGAAGAACACCAAUGGCGAAAGCAGCUUUCUGGGACGGUACUGACGCUGAGACGCGAAAGCGUGGGGAGCGAACAGG
rnacentral:rRNA from 1 species